AGAGGAGCAAGGAUGAGUGGUGGAAGGCAAAACAGAGGAAGAGGCAGAAGAGGACAUAUCUGUAGACACAAGGGCCACUAUUGUAGACCAUGUUGUCAAUCAUGGCCUUACAAUGGCUGAGGCGGGUCGAAGGGUGCAGCCGAAUACUGUCAACCGUGUCCUCAAUAGUUCAAACGUUUCGAAGAGAGAACAGGACUGCAAGAUUACCUCAAACAGGUGGAAGAGGACGCCUUUUCACACCUCAACAGGAGGGGGCUAUUUGCACCAUGGUCCAAACAAACAAUGCCAUGAGACUCAGGGAAAUACAAAGGACCAUUAUAGAAGACAACGAUGUCUUUGAAAACAUCCAUACGGUUAGCAUCUCAACCAUCGACAGGGUGCUGCAUAGAAACCAGAUGAGUAUGAAACAGCUGUACCGUGUACCAUUCCAAAGGAAUGAGGACAGAGUGAAGGAGCUACGGUACCAGUAUGCACAGCGUAUAAUGGAGUUGGAAUCAAGUGAACCCUCUCACAACUUUGUAUACAUGGAUGAGGCUGGCUUCAACCUGACCAAAUGCAGAAGGCGGGGUCGGAAUAUCAUCGGUCACAGAGCGAAUGUGGAUUUGUGGUCAUUUGUGAUAAUGUGAGUUUCCAUCGAUCAAACAUCAUAAGGCAAUGGUUUGUGACCCACCCGAGGAUGCUCAUAGAAUUCCUCCCACCUUAUUCACCAUUCCUUAACCCAAUUGAAGAGUUAUUUUCAGCAUGGAGGUGGAAGGUGUACGAUCGUCAGCCACACACACAGAUGACCCUGCUGGCUGCAAUGGAUGCAGCAUGUGAGGACAUCACAGUAGAUGCCUGCAGAGGAUGGAUAAGGCAUUC